rnacentral:rRNA from 1 species
GCAAGUCUAACGGGGUAGCAAUACUCAGUGGCGCACGGGUGAGUAAUACGUAGAUAACCUUCCUUAUAGUGGGGGACAACCUACCGAAAGGUGGGCUAAUACCGCAUGAGACCACAGUGACUGAGGUCACAGGGGUUAAAGAUUUAUCGCUUUAAGAUGGGUCUGCGUCAGAUUAGGUAGUUGGUGGGGUAAUGGCCUACCAAGCCUACGAUCUGUAGCUGGUCUGAGAGGAUGAUCAGCCACACUGGAACUGAGACACGGUCCAGACUCC